rnacentral:lncRNA from 1 species
GGGAAUACAUCUUGAUGGGGCAGCUGAGUUGUUAUGAAAUAUCAGGAACCCAACCCAGCUCUAGAACUCACCCCUGAGCACAAAGGCAAUGUUGGGCAUGCUGGUAAAGGACUACUAGAAUCCAGCAGCCCGGACCGCUUUCUCUGUGGUCAAGAAAGGCAGGAAAACAGGUGCAGGACGGCUACAUCGGUGAGCGUAACUAAUCCGAUAAGCAGAGGCCCAUGGGUGGUGAUGCACACUGGAAAGGAAUAAGCAUUAGGACCAAAGAGGAUGCUCUAGGACUAAUGCUCAUCAGAAAAUGAAUAGAUGUGCUGGCAUCCCUGUGUUCUUUUUUCAGAUGGGAAACAUUCCCCCCAAGGCGAAAACACCCCUAAGAUGUAUUCUGGAGAAUUCAGCCCGGAGUGUAUGUACCUUCUUCCCUCUCAGACUUGAAGCAAAAUAAAAUAGGACUAGGUACAGAAUGUUCCAGAACCAAGAAGGCAAAGGAUCAGAGGUACUUCAAACCUCUAAAAGAAAUGACCAAAAGGAGAGAACAUAGCAGCACAUGCACAUGGUGAAACAUAAGUAUUAAACAAUCGCUUAAGAAAAUAAAACAUCUCCAUUCCACCAUUCCCCACCACAAUACCUGCUUCUCACAGGCAACGACUUUUAUCAGUUUGGGUUUUUAACUCUUCUGGUACUUUCCCCAAAAUAAAACUUAGUUUCAGACAUUAUUUUCGUCCUAAAUAAAAAGUGAGUUAAAUUUUAUUACCUUGUUCCUCAUCAG